rnacentral:rRNA from 1 species
UACGAAGGGGGCUAGCGUUGCUCGGAAUUACUGGGCGUAAAGCGCACGUAGGCGGCUUUCUAAGUCGGGGGUGAAAUCCUGGAGCUCAACUCCAGAACUGCCUUCGAUACUGGAGAGCUUGAGUCCGGGAGAGGUGAGUGGAACUGCGAGUGUAGAGGUGAAAUUCGUAGAUAUUCGCAAGAACACCAGUGGCGAAGGCGGCCGAACAUGGACCGAA